GCUUCUUCUUCUUCAUUUGGGUGCUUCGAUUGGAUAAUCUCCUCUUGAUCUUCUCUUCCAUUUUUCUUCACUUUCUCAGGCGCUGUUCACAUUCUAUUUCCCAUUUCCCAAUUCCCAAAUUCCAAUUGAUUUGAGGCUUUUUACCCCUGAUUCUCAGAUCUACUUUGAAUUCCCAAUCUUCCAUCUACACAGGAUCAGAAUCAGGCAAAAAUGUCCAGCGACAGCGACGACCUGGACGAGGACGAGCUGCUGCAGAUGGCUCUCAAGGAGCAACAACAGCGCGAUGUCAAUUAUCUCACUAAUUCUCGCAAGCCCGUUGCUAAUUACGUCCAACCCCCGUCUCAGUCCCGGAAAUCGGCUUCCGUAGCUGCCGUUUCUAAAGCCAGUGGCAGUAAUGCGCAGCCUAAGGGUGGUCGGAGGGUUGUCGACGACGACGACGAUUCCGAGGUCGAGAUGCUGAGCAUUUCCAGUGGCGAUGAGGAUUCCACCAAAGAUCAUCGAACGUCCGCUGCAACCCGCGGCGGUAGGGCGUCUAGGUCCUCUGGCAAGGACGAUGAUCCGGGCUGGGAUGGCGAGGAGCCUCAUUGCUGGAAGCACGUUGAUGAAGACGAGCUAGCUAGAAGAGUACGUGAAAUGCGGGAGACAAGAACAGCACCCGCUCCUCAGAAGUUUGACCGAAAGGUAUCUGCAAUCGGUAGACCGGGACUCAGCCAUUUGCAGUCCUUCCCUCGUGGCAUGGAAUGUAUAGAUCCACUUGGGUUGGGAGUAAUAGACAAUAGAUCAUUAAGAUUGAUCACGGAGGCAUCUGAGAGCUCUCCUUCUAAAUCUGAGAGAGAAUUCAUCGAUGGUACCUUACGAGAGAAGUUGCUGUAUUUCUCUGAAAAAUUUGAUGCAAAGCUUUUCAUUUCUCGGAUACACCAAGACACAAGUGCAGGAGACUUGGAGAAAGGCGCUUUUGCUUUAAAAACUGACCUUAAAGGACGGAUGCAACAAAGAAAACAAUUAGUCAAAGACAACUUUGACUGCUUUGUAUCAUGCAAAACAACAAUUGAUGAUAUUGAGUCCAAGUUGAGACGAAUUGAAGAAGACCCUGAAGGUUCUGGAACUUCACAUUUGUUUAAUUGUAUUCAAGGAGUAAGCAAGCAAGCCAAUCGAGCUUUUCAGUCUCUGUUUGAGAGACAGGCACAAGCUGAAAAGAUCAGAUCAGUCCAAGGAAUGCUGCAAAGGUUCAGAACACUCUUUAACUUGCCAAGUACCAUUCGCACCAGUAUUAGUAAGGGUGAAUAUGACCUGGCAGUUCGGGAAUACAAAAAAGCAAAGUCAAUUGCUUUGCCAUCUCAUUUUCAGGUGGGAAUUUUGAAGAAGGUUCUUGAGGAGGUUGAAAAAGUGAUGCACGAGUUCAAAGGCACACUUUACAAGUCAAUGGAAGACCCACAAAUAGAUUUGACAAACCUUGAGAAUACUGUAAGACUACUAUUGGAGCUGGAGCCUGAAUCAGAUCCUGUGUGGCAUUAUUUAAACAUACAGAAUCACAAGAUACGAGGUUUUCUUGAAAAGUGCACCUUAGAUCACGAGUCAAGAAUGGAAGCAUUGAAUAAUAAGAUGCGUGAAAGAGCUGUUGCUGAUGCAAGAUGGCGGCAGAUUCAACAUGAUCUUGAUCAAUCUUCAGAUGUUGAUCAUUCUUCUGCUGUGGAUGGUCGUCUCCCAGUGGGUGUAGAACCUGUGGAAGUAAAUAGUGAAGAAGUUGAUGCUCUUAGAGCUAGAUAUAUUCAGAGAUUGACUGCUGUACUUAUCCAUCACAUACCAGUGUUUUGGAAAACUGCUCUUUCUGUUUUCAGUGGGAAAUUUGCCAAGUCUUCUCAAGUUUCUGCUGAAUCAAAUGCCAACACCUCGGCUAACAAAAAUGAGGACAAGGUUGGUGAGGGGAAGUACUCAAAUCAUUCUCUCGAGGAAGUUACUGGGAUGAUACGCAGUACACUAUCUGCAUAUGAAGUAAAGGUUCACAGCACCUUUCGCGAGCUUGAAGAAUCAAAUAUCCUUCUGCCGUACAUGAGUGAUGCCAUAAAUGAAAUAUCUAGCGCGUGCCAAGCUUUCGAAGUGAAGGAAUCAGCUCCUUCAAGUGCUGUAAUUGCACUGCGAACGCUUCAAUCAGAGGUGACAAAGAUUUAUAUUUUAAGGCUUUGUGCCUGGAUGCGAGCUUCCAUUGUAAAAAUUUCAAAAGAUGAAACAUGGGUCCCUGUGUCAAUUAUUGAGAGGAAUAAAUCUCCAUACACAAUCUCUUUCUUGCCUCUAGCAUUUCGAUCUAUCAUGUCGUCAGCAAUGGAUCAAAUAAAUUUUAUGGUUCAGUCUUUAACAAGCGAGGCUUCGAAGUCGGAGGAAAUAUUUUUUCUACUUCAAGAAAUUGAGGAAUCUGUUAGACUUGCAUUUUUGAACUGUUUCCUUGAUUUUGCAGGUCAUCUGGAGAAUAUUGGAAGUGGGCUUACCCAAAACAAACAAAACAAAGACAGUCCACACUUGCAGAAUGGAUUUUCUCAUGAUUUGCAAGAAAAGCUACUUUUAGAUAUGCCUGGGAGUCUUGUGAAUCCACAUCAACAAUUGUUAAUAGUCUUGAGCAAUAUUGGUUUUUGCAAAGAUGAGCUUUCAUGUGAAUUGUACAGCAAGUACAAGCAUAUUUGGUCGCAUUCUAGGGUAAAAACUGAGGAGGAUACCAGUGACCUCCAAGAUCUUGUUAUGUCCUUUUCUGCACUUGAAGAAAAGGUCCUUGAACAGUACACAUAUGCAAAGGCAAACUUGAUGAGAACAGCUGCAACUAACUAUCUAUUGGAUUCUGGAGUCCACUGGGGAGCUGCUCCUGCAGUUAAAGGUGUGCGUGAUGCAGCUGUCGAGCUACUCCACACUCUUGUGUCUGUCCAUGCUGAGGUUUUUGCUGGUUGUAAGCCCCUUUUGGACAAGACACUAGGCAUUCUUGUUGAAGGUUUAAUUGAUACUUUUCUCAGCAUUUUUGAUGAAAAUGGAACAAACGAGCUACGGUCACUUGAUACAAAUGGUUUCUGUCAACUCAUGCUUGAGCUUGAGUACUUUGAGACCAUAUUAAAUCCUUAUUUCACAUCCGACGCUAGAGAGUCUUUGAAGUCUUUGCAAGGAGUGCUUUUGGAGAAAGCUACUGAAAGUGUGACAGAGGCAGCUGAUAAUCCAGGCCAUAAUCGUCGGCCAACUCGUGGGAGCGAGGAAGCUAUAGAUGAACGACAACAAGGAGCAACUGCCCCAGAUGAACUCAUUGCACUGGCACAGCAGUACAGCACAGAGUUGCUUCAACAAGAGCUUGAGAGAACACGAAUAAACACUGCUUGCUUCGCAGAGUCAAUUCCAUUAGAUUCGGUUCCUGAACCAGCCAAGGCAGUUUACACUUCAUUUAAUGCCACUUAUAGAGGAGGCACAACUCCCACCGGGUCUCCAAGUUUCUCAUCCCGGAGCAGGCGUCGCUUGUAGCCUUAUUCUUGUUCGUUUGAUGGAUUUUCUAUGUCAAUGCACGACUACAUUUUGGUUUUCCUUCAUUCUUAUCAGGAAACAAUCAGAAGCAUCAUUAUAACUUUGGUCAUUUAGAUUUCGGAACAUGAAAAGGUAAACACAAUCCGGAACUCGUGGCAGGUUCAAAGGUGGCAGUACUCAAAGUUGGGUGUAAAUCUUUCAUGGUGUACUGCAGGAAAUAGAGGAGUAUGCUUUAUGGUAAACUAGAAUCUUAGCUCUCAUUGAUGUUAAUAAAAAUGAAUAUUAUUACCAGCAGAUGCAACUCAUAAUGUUUUAUUGUUGAAAUAUAGGACUUGAAAAAUGAAAAUAUUUACUUUGAUCUUAUGUUCAA